GAUGAACGCUGGCGGCGUGCCUAAUACAUGCAAGUCGAGCGAACAGACGAGGAGCUUGCUUCUCUGACGUUAGCGGCGGACGGGUGAGUAACACGUGGAUAACCUACCUAUAAGACUGGGAUAACUUCGGGAAACCGGAGCUAAUACCGGAUAAUAUAUUGAACCGCAUGGUUCAAUAGUGAAAGACGGUUUUGCUGUCACUUGUAGAUGGAUCCGCGCCGCAUUAGCUAGUUGGUAAGGUAACGGCUUACCAAGGCAACGAUGCGUAGCCGACCUGAGAGGGUGAUCGGCCACACUGGAACUGAGACACGGUCCAGACUCCUACGGGAGGCAGCAGUAGGGAAUCUUCCGCAAUGGGCGAAAGCCUGACGGAGCAACGCCGCGUGAGUGAUGAAGGUCUUCGGAUCGUAAAACUCUGUUAUUAGGGAAGAACAAAUGUGUAAGUAACUAUGCACGUCUUGACGGUACCUAAUCAGAAAGCCACGGCUAACUACGUG
rnacentral:rRNA from 1 species